AGGGCACCACCAGGAGUGGAGCCUGCGGCUUAAUUUGACUCAACACGGGAAAACUUACCCGGCCCGGACACUGGAAGGAUUGACAGAUUGAGAGCUCUUUCUUGAUUCAGUGGGUGGUGGUGCAUGGCCGUUCUUAGUUGGUGGAGCGACUUGUCUGGUUAAUUCCGAUAACGAACGAGACUCUAGCCUACUAAAUAGACUGUUCAGCUUUAUAGCCGGAAUCACUGGGCGUGUAGCUCUCCGCAAGGGGGGUUGCAUGUUCGGCUCUGGUGACGUUGGCAGUGCUUCUUAGAGGGACAGGCGGCGGUUCAGCCGCACGAAACAGAGCAAUAACAGGUCUGUGAUGCCCUUAGAUGUCCGGGGCUGCACGCGCGCUACACUGAAGUGAUCAGCGUGCAAUUUACGUUUGGUGAUCUGUCAAGAUUGCCCAACCCGUUGAACCUUCUUCGUGAUUGGGAUAGGGGAUUGUAAUUAUUCCCCUUGAACGAGGAAUUCCCAGUAAGCGCAAGUCAUAAGCUU
rnacentral:rRNA from 1 species